rnacentral:rRNA from 1 species
GGUUAAGCGACUAAGCGUACACGGUGGAUGCCCUGGCAGUCAGAGGCGAUGAAGGACGUGCUAAUCUGCGAAAAGCGUCGGUAAGGUGAUAUGAACCGUUAUAACCGGCGAUGUCCGAAUGGGGAAACCCAGUGCAAUUCGUUGCACUAUCGUUAACUGAAUACAUAGGUUAACGAGGCGAACCGGGGGAACUGAAACAUCUAAGUACCCCGAGGAAAAGAAAUCAACCGAGAUUCCCCCAGUAGCGGCGAGCGAACGGGGAGCAGCCCAGAGUCUGAAUCAGCUUGUGUGUUAGUGGAACGGUCUGGAAAGUCCGACGGUACAGGGUGAUAGUCCCGUACACCAAAAUGCACAGGCUGUGAACUCGAAGAGUAGGGCGGGACACGUGGUAUCCUGUCUGAAUAUGGGGGGACCAUCCUCCAAGGCUAAAUACUCCUGACUGACCGAUAGUGAACCAGUACCGUGAGGGAAAGGCGAAAAGAACCCCGGCGAGGGGAGUGAAAAAGAACCUGAAACCGUGUACGUACAAGCAGUGGGAGCACCUUCGGGUGUGACUGCGUACCUUUUGUAUAAUGGGUCAGCGACUUAUAUUCUGUAGCAAGGUUAACCGUAUAGGGGAGCCGCAGGGAAACCGAGUCUUAACUGGGCGUUAAGUUGCAGGGUAUAGACCCGAAACCCGGUGAUCUAGCCAUGGGCAGGUUGAAGGUUGGGUAACACUAACUGGAGGACCGAACCGACUAAUGUUGAAAAAUUAGCGGAUGACUUGUGGCUGGGGGUGAAAGGCCAAUCAAACCGGGAGAUAGCUGGUUCUCCCCGAAAGCUAUUUAGGUAGCGCCUCGUGAACUCAUCUUCGGGGGUAGAGCACUGUUUCGGCUAGGGGGUCAUCCCGACUUACCAACCCGAUGCAAACUACGAAUACCGAAGAAUGUUAUCACGGGAGACACACGGCGGGUGCUAACGUCCGUCGUGAAGAGGGAAACAACCCAGACCGCCAGCUAAGGUCCCAAAGUCAUGGUUAAGUGGGAAACGAUGUGGGAAGGCACAGACAGCCAGGAUGUUGGCUUAGAAGCAGCCAUCAUUUAAAGAAAGCGUAAUAGCUCACUGGUCGAGUCGGCCUGCGCGGAAGAUGUAACGGGGCUAAACCAUGCACCGAAGCUGCGGCAGCGACACUAUGUGUUGUUGGGUAGGGGAGCGUUCUGUAAGCCUGCGAAGGUGUGCUGUGAGGCAUGCUGGAGGUAUCAGAAGUGCGAAUGCUGACAUAAGUAACGAUAAAGCGGGUGAAAAGCCCGCUCGCCGGAAGACCAAGGGUUCCUGUCCAACGUUAAUCGGGGCAGGGUGAGUCGACCCCUAAGGCGAGGCCGAAAGGCGUAGUCGAUGGGAAACAGGUUAAUAUUCCUGUACUUGGUGUUACUGCGAAGGGGGGGGACGGAGAAGGCUAUGUUAGCCGGGCGACGGUUGUCCCGGUUUAAGCAUGUAGGCUGAUUGUCCAGGCAAAUCCGGAUAAUCAAGGCUGAGGUGUGAUGACGAGGCACUACGGUGCUGAAGUAACAAAUGCCCUGCUUCCAGGAAAAGCCUCUAAGCAUCAGGUAACAUUAAAUCGUACCCCAAACCGACACAGGUGGUCAGGUAGAGAAUACCAAGGCGCUUGAGAGAACUCGGGUGAAGGAACUAGGCAAAAUGGUGCCGUAACUUCGGGAGAAGGCACGCUGGUGUGUAGGUGAAGUCCCUGCGGAUGGAGCUGAGACCAGUCGAAGAUACCAGCUGGCUGCAACUGUUUAUUAAAAACACAGCACUGUGCAAACACGAAAGUGGACGUAUACGGUGUGACGCCUGCCCGGUGCCGGAAGGUUAAUUGAUGGGGUUAUCCGUAAGGAGAAGCUCUUGAUCGAAGCCCCGGUAAACGGCGGCCGUAACUAUAACGGUCCUAAGGUAGCGAAAUUCCUUGUCGGGUAAGUUCCGACCUGCACGAAUGGCGUAAUGAUGGCCAGGCUGUCUCCACCCGAGACUCAGUGAAAUUGAACUCGCUGUGAAGAUGCAGUGUACCCGCGGCAAGACGGAAAGACCCCGUGAACCUUUACUAUAGCUUGACACUGAACAUUGAGCCUUGAUGUGUAGGAUAGGUGGGAGGCUUUGAAGCGUGGACGCCAGUCUGCGUGGAGCCAACCUUGAAAUACCACCCUUUAAUGUUUGAUGUUCUAACGUUGGCCCCUGACCGGGGUUGCGGACAGUGUCUGGUGGGUAGUUUGACUGGGGCGGUCUCCUCCCAAAGCGUAACGGAGGAGCACGAAGGUUAGCUAAUCCUGGUCGGACAUCAGGAGGUUAGUGCAAUGGCAUAAGCUAGCUUGACUGCGAGCGUGACGGCGCGAGCAGGUGCGAAAGCAGGUCAUAGUGAUCCGGUGGUUCUGAAUGGAAGGGCCAUCGCUCAACGGAUAAAAAGGUACUCCGGGGAUAACAGGCUGAUACCGCCCAAGAGUUCAUAUCGACGGCGGUGUUUGGCACCUCGAUGUCGGCUCAUCACAUCCUGGGGCUGAAGUAGGUCCCAAGGGUAUGGCUGUUCGCCAUUUAAAGUGGUACGCGAGCUGGGUUUAGAACGUCGUGAGACAGUUCGGUCCCUAUCUGCCGUGGGCGCUGGAGAAUUGAGGGGGGCUGCUCCUAGUACGAGAGGACCGGAGUGGACGCAUCACUGGUGUUCGGGUUGUCAUGCCAAUGGCACUGCCCGGUAGCUAAAUGCGGAAGAGAUAAGUGCUGAAAGCAUCUAAGCACGAAACUUGCCCCGAGAUGAGUUCUCCCUGAGACUUUAAGUCUCCUGAAGGAACGUUAAAGACGAUGACGUUGAUAGGCCGGGUGUGUAAGCGCAGCGAUGCGUUGAGCUAACCGGUACUAAUGAACCGUGAGGCUUAACCUU